rnacentral:lncRNA from 1 species
GCGGAUAUCCGGCAGAUAGCGGGUCAGGUUUCGGGUACAGUUUUAUCCGGAAGGUCGGGUUCGGGUAUCACACUAUUCGACCCGAACCCGACCCGUUGCCAUCCCUAGUCAUGAAAAUCCUCGUCUACUUCCUCAUCAUCAUCUACAUCUUCAUCCUCAGCCUCAUGUACAUCCUUAUCCUCACCCUUGUCUACAUCAUCAUCCUCUUCUAAAUCCUUUAACUCAAAAUCAUGUACCUGAUGUACCUCAGCCUCCUCUACAUCAUGGACCUCAACCUUGUCUGCAUCAUGGACCUCACCCUCACCAUCCACCAUUUUUGUUUCAACUUCAUUAUGACCAUCACCCUCACCAUC